AAGUCGUAACAAGGUCUCCGUUGGUGAACCAGCGGAGGGAUCAUUAUAGAGUUCUAAACUCCAAAACCCAUGUGAACCUACUUUUGUUGCCUCGGCAGGACGCUACCCGGCGAUGCCCUACCCGGUGAGAACUUACCCCGUAACGACCUACCCUGUAGGAACUUACCCGGUGAGGGCUUACCCGGGGACGGCCUACCCGGUAGGUGACCCGGACUGCCAGAGGACCACUAAACUCUAUUUGCCGAAGUGAAAUCUGAGCUCUUUAUACAAAUAAGUUAAAACUUUCAACAACGGAUCUCUUGGUUCUG
rnacentral:misc_RNA from 1 species